rnacentral:rRNA from 1 species
AGAGUUUGAUCCUGGCUCAGAACGAACGCUGGCGGCGUGCUUAACACAUGCAAGUCGCGUGCGCAGUUCCGUAGCAAUACGGGAUGGGCGCACGGCGCACGGGUGCGUAACACGUGGGCAAUCUGCCCUCUGAUGGGGAAUAACCCGCCGAAAGGCGGGCUAAUUCCGCAUAAGAUUCCCGGGACUUCGGUCCUGGGAUUGAAAGCAGUAAUGCGUCGGAGGAGGAGCCCGCGCCCGAUUAGCUAGUUGGUGAGGUAACGGCUCACCAAGGCAAUGAUCGGUAGCUGGUCUGAGAGGAUGAUCAGCCACACUGGAACUGAGACACGGUCCAGACUCCUACGGGAGGCAGCAGUGGGGAAUCUUGCACAAUGGGCGAAAGCCUGAUGCAGCGACGCCGCGUGGGGGAUGAAGCAUUUCGGUGUGUAAACCCCUUUCGACUGGGAAGAAUGCCUCGCAAGAGGAGUGACGGUACCAGUAGAAGAAGCCCCGGCUAACUACGUGCCAGCAGCCGCGGUAAGACGUAGGGGGCCAGCGUUGUUCGGAAUUACUGGGUGUAAAGGGUUCGUAGGCGGUGCGGCAAGUUGGGAGUGAAAUCUCUGGGCUUAACCCAGAGGCUGCUUCCAAAACUGCUGUGCUCGAGUGUGAGAGAGGCUCGUGGAAUUGCAGGUGUAGCGGUGAAAUGCGUAGAUAUCUGCAGGAACACCCGUGGCGAAAGCGGCGAGCUGGAUCACUACUGACGCUGAGGAACGAAAGCUAGGGGAGCAAACAGGAUUAGAUACCCUGGUAGUCCUAGCCCUAAACGAUCAGGACUUGGGGUGCCGCCCGUUCGGGCGUCGUCCCGGAGCUAACGCGUUAAGUCCUGCACCUGGGGAGUACGGUCGCAAGACUGAAACUCAAAGGAAUUGACGGGGGCCCGCACAAGCGUGGAACAUGUGGUUCAAUUCGACGCUACGCGAGGAACCUUACCU